rnacentral:rRNA from 1 species
GUCGAGCGGUAGAGAGAAGCUUGCUUCUCUUGAGAGCGGCGGACGGGUGAGCCCUUUAAGGACUCUGCCUGGUAGAGGGGGAUAACGUUCGGACAACCUAUGCUAAUACCGCAUACGUCCUACGGGAGAAAGCAGGGGACCUUCGGGCCUUGCGCUAUCAGAUGAGCCUAGGUCGGAUUAGCUAGUUGGUGGGGUAAUGGCUCACCAAGGCGACGAUCCGUAACUGGUCUGAGAGGAUGAUCAGUCACACUGGAACUGAGACACGGUCCAGACUCCUACGGGAGGCAGCAGUGGGGAAUAUUGGACAAUGGGCGAAAGCCUGAUCCAGCCAUGCCGCGUGUGUGAAGAAGGUCUUCGGAUUGUAAAGCAACUUUAAGUUGGGAGGAAGGGCCAUUACCUAAAACGUGAUGGUUUUGACGUUUUCGACAGAAUAAGCACCGGCUAACUCUGUGCCAGCAGCCGCGGUAAUACAGAGGGUGCAAGCGUUAAUCGGAAUUACUGGGCGUAAAGCGCGCGUAGGUGGGUUGUUAAGUUGGAUGUGAAAUCCCCGGGCUCAACCUGGGAACUGCAUUCAAAACUGACUGACUAGAGUAUGGUAGAGGGUGGUGGAAUUUCCUGUGUAGCGGUGAAAUGCGUAGAUAUAGGAAGGAACACCAGUGGCGAAAGCGACCACCUGGACUGAUACUGACACUGAGGUGCGAAAGCGUGGGGAGCAAACAGGAAUAAAUACCCUGGUAGUCCACGCCGUAAACGAUGUCAACUAGCCGUUGGGAGGCCUGAGCUCUUUGUGGCGCAGCUAACGCAUUAAGUUGACCGCCCGGGGAG